rnacentral:lncRNA from 1 species
AUCCCACAAUAAAGCCCCUCUCCUGUUGCUCUCCUGCCAGUGUGAUUAGCAAUGGAGGUCUUUGACCCAGGCAGUCACCGCUCUCAAGGAACAAGUGUCCAUGAAGAAGCAGCCUGAGCUGUUAGGCAUCUGCCUUUGCUCAAGACAUCCUCUGCCUACCCUGGCAGUUACCCUGGAUGGUUUUGCUGUCGUGAUUAAAACACAGAUGGAGCUCAUCCCUUCCCUGGGUGUUUGAUUGGCAGACUCUCUGUGAUCAGCACUCUUCUCUGGUGAACACAUCAGCGCCAUCUGCCUUCUGUCUGCCUGGAGAGACUUGCCACAGUAGAGCUUCCUCAGCCUCACAUGAACCGCUGCAAAGGAUGUGCGCUCCUUUUGCUGAAGCCGUCAAAUAAAAAAGCUUUUUCAUGAAAAGCUAAAUAGAAUACAUGAAGAUUUUCACGACAGUAGGCUUCCGGAUUAAUGAAAUAUUCAUUUAAAUUGGACUUGGAGGAUAUGUCACUUCUUUUCUUUGAUUAAAAUAUUUAGAGCAUAACACAAAAUCACUGUGUCUUGAAAAAGCCAAACUUCAAGGAAAUUCAGCUGAUGGGGCAUCUUGUUUUCAGUGAGGUUGUUAAAGAUGAUUUUUCCAACCAGGGUCAGGUGCUUGGAACCGUUAGGUGAAUGCUAGGCAUGGUGGGAGUCCUCUUGUGUGCUUAAGAGUUUAAGAGAUCGAACCCAAUAGAUAGUAAGCUUCUUUCAAAGAGAAUGCUAAUUUUAAUGUUUUUAUGACUUAAAUAGAUUGUAAUAAGUUAUUACUUCCUAAUUUAGAUGUUGGUAUGACGACUGGGCAGACGCAUGUUCUUGUUCCACAUCAACAUUGUAUGACUGCAGAGUGUAGCCUGAGUGCUUAGGAAAGGGUACUUUUACGAUAUUGGAAGACUGGACAUCGUGACAUUAGGAGGAGGGAGGGGGUUACUGGGCUGUUCUAAAAUUAGCAAUGUGAAGAGCUGGUUCAAACUUAAUUGCCUAGGUGUGGAAGAAAUAUACUUGUAUUGUGCUUAAUAAUGUGAAUUAUCUGUAUCAUUAAAUAACAGGAAACCCGUUUGAGUUUCUUCUUCCUGUCCAAAUAAAUAAAUAAAUAAAUAAAUAAAUAUAAUUAACACAGUGAAAAA